AACGAAAUGUUUGCCAAGUCAUUUUGUUGCCACAGUGAUCAUUUAUAUGACUUUGAGUUUGUUCUUGUUAUAUUUCCAGGGAGUGGCCAAAUCCAGUUUUGCUGAAAACCAUCACACUACCUUUCAUUGAAAACAAAGUGGGACUUAAAUUUCGAGUCUGGGAUCCCAGAUCAAACCCAGCAGACCGUUAUCACCUGAUGCCUAUUAUCACACCUGCCUACCCACAACGGAACUCUUCAUUCAACGUGUCCAUGUCAACCA